AGUGAACGCUGGCGGUAGGCCUAACACAUGCAAGUCGAACGGCAGCACAGUAAUAGCUUGCUCUUACGGGUGGCGAGUGGCGGACGGGUGAGCAAUACAUCGGCAUCUACUUUUUCUUGCGGCAUAACGUAGGGACUCUUACGCUAAUACCCCUUCCGACCUACGCGUGAAAGCAGUGGAUCUUCCGACCUUGCGCGAUUCAAUGAGCCGAUGUCGGAUUAGCUAGUUGGCGGGGUAAAGGCCCACCAAGGCGACGAUCCGUAGCUGGUCUGAGAGGAUGAUCAGCCACACUGGAACUGAGACACGGUCCAGACUCCUACGGGAGGCAGCAGUGGGGAAUAUUGGACAAUGGGCGCAAGCCUGAUCCAGCCAUACCGCGUGGGUGAAGAAGGCCCUCGGGUUGUAAAGCCCUUUUGUUAGGAAAGAAAAGCAGCAGGUUAAUACCCCGCUGUUCUGACGGUACCCAAAGAAUAAGCACCGGCUAACUUCGUG
rnacentral:rRNA from 1 species